GGGGAUUUAGCUCAGCGGCAUAAGCGCCUGCCUUGCAAGCAGGCAGUUGUGAGUUCAAUCCCUC
rnacentral:tRNA from 1 species